GACGAACGCUGGCGGCGUGCUUAACACAUGCAAGUCGAGCGGUAAGGCCCUUUCGGGGGUACACGAGCGGCGAACGGGUGAGUAACACGUGGGUGACCUGCCCUCAGCUCUGGGAUAAGCCUGGGAAACUGGGUCUAAUACCGGAUAUGACCUUGCCUCGCAUAGGGUGGGGUGGAAAGUCCUGGGCUUGAUUGUCUGGGCUCGGCUGGGGAUGGGCCCGCGGCCUAUCAGCUUGUUGGUGGGGGAUGGCCUACCAAGGCGACGACGGGUAGCCGGCCUGAGAGGGCGACCGGCCACACUGGGACUGAGACACGGCCCAGACUCCUACGGGAGGCAGCAGUGGGGAAUAUUGCGCAAUGGGCGGAAGCCUGACGCAGCGACGCCGCGU
rnacentral:rRNA from 1 species